rnacentral:rRNA from 1 species
UAGUCCACGCCGUAAACGAUGAUAACUCGUUGCUGGUGAUACACAAUCAGUGACUGAGCGAAAGUGAUAAGUAUCCCACCUGGGGAGUACGUUCGCAAGAAUGAAACUCAAAGGAAUUGACGGGGGCCCGCACAAGCGGUGGAGCAUGUGGUUUAAUUCGAUGAUACGCGAGGAACCUUACCAGGGCUUAAAUGUAAGUUGCAUUAGUUAGAGAUAGCUAUUUCUUCGGACUACUUACAAGGUGCUGCAUGGUUGUCGUCAGCUCGUGCCGUGAGGUGUCAGGUUAAGUCCUAUAACGAGCGCAACCCCUACCGUUAGUUGCCAGCAUGUUAUGAUGGGGACUCUAACGGGACUGCCGGUGCAAACCGCGAGGAAGGUGGGGAUGACGUCAAAUCAUCACGGCCCUUACGUCCUGGGCUACACACGUGCUACAAUGGUAUAUACAGAGGGCAGCUACCUAGUGAUAGGAUGCGAAUCUUUAAAGUAUAUCUCAGUUCGGAUC